rnacentral:tRNA from 1 species
ACAUUGGUGGUUCAGUGGUAUAAUUCUCACCUUCCAUAUGGGACACCCGGGUUUGAUUCCCAGCCAAUGUA